rnacentral:rRNA from 1 species
UACGUAGGGGGCAAGCGUUGUCCGGAUUUACUGGGCGUAAAGAGCGCGUAGGCGGAAGCUUAAGUGUGGCCUGAAAGCCCCCGGCUCAACCGGGGAAGGUGGCUGCAAACUGGGCUUCUUGAGGGGGGAUAGGGGAAAGUGGAAUUCCAGGUGUAGCGGUGAAAUGCGUAGAUAUCUGGAGGAACACCGGUGGCGAAGGCGACAUCCUGGACCGGUAUUGACGCUGAGGCGCGAAAGCCAGGGGAGCAAACGGG